rnacentral:rRNA from 1 species
CACGUAGGGUGCGAGCGUUGUCCGGAAUUAUUGGGCGUAAAGAGCUCGUAGGCGGUGUGUCGCGUCGGCCGUGAAAACCUGCAGCUUAACUGUGGGCUUGCGGUCGAUACGGGCAUCACUGGAGUUCGGCAGGGGAGACUGGAAUUCCUGGUGUAGCGGUGAAAUGCGCAGAUAUCAGGAGGAACACCGGUGGCGAAGGCGGGGUCUCUGGGCCGAUACUGAC